rnacentral:rRNA from 1 species
GAUGAACGCUGGCGGCGUGCCUAAUGCAUGCAAGCCGAACGGCCUGAUUUAUCAGGCAGUGGCGGACGGGUGAGUAACGCGUAAGAACUUACCCUAAAGUGGGGGACAACCUCGAGAAAUCGGGGCUAAUACCGCAUACGCUCCGCAAGGAGGAAAGCUACGGCGCUUUAGGAUGGGCUUGCGUCCGAUUAGCUAGUUGGUGAGGUAAUGGCUCACCAAGGCUUAGAUCGGUAGCUGGUCUGAGAGGAUGAUCAGCCACACUGGAAUUGAGAUACGGUCCAGACUCCUACGGGAGGCAG